rnacentral:rRNA from 1 species
AGUGAACGCUGGCGGUAGGCCUAACACAUGCAAGUCGAACGGCAGCACAGUAAGAGCUUGCUCUUACGGGUGGCGAGUGGCGGACGGGUGAGGAAUACAUCGGAAUCUACUUUUUCGUGGGGGAUAACGUAGGGAAACUUACGCUAAUACCGCAUACGACCUACGGGUGAAAGCAGGGGAUCUUCGGACCUUGCGCGAUUGAAUGAGCCGAUGUCGGAUUAGCUAGUUGGCGGGGUAAAGGCCCACCAAGGCGACGAUCCGUAGCUGGUCUGAGAGGAUGAUCAGCCACACUGGAACUGAGACACGGUCCAGACUCCUACGGGAGGCAGCAGUGGGGAAUAUUGGACAAUGGGCGCAAGCCUGGUCCAGCCAUACCGCGUGGGUGAAGAAGGCCUUCGGGUUGUAAAGCCCUUUUGUUGGGAAAGAAAAGCAGCAGGUUAAUACCCCGCUGUUCUGACGGUACCCAAAGAAUAAGCACCGACUAACUUCGUG